GACGUAGGGCGCGAGCGUUGUUCGGAGUUACUGGGCGUAAAGAGUGCGUAGGCGGUUUUCUAAGUUUGGUGUGAAAUCUCCCGGCUUAACUGGGAGGGUGCGCCGAAAACUGGAAGGCUUGAGUAUGGGAGAGGUAAGCGGAAUUCCUGGUGUAGCGGUGAAAUGCGCAGAUAUCAGGAGGAACACCGGUGGCGAAGGCGGGUCUCUGGGCCGAUACUGACGCUGAGGAGCGAAAGCGUGGGGAGCGAACAGG
rnacentral:rRNA from 1 species